AUUGAACGCUGGCGGAAUGCUUUACACAUGCAAGUCGAGCGGCAGCGCGGGGCAACCUGGCGGCGAGCGGCGAACGGGUGAGUAAUACAUCGGAACGUACCCAGUUGUGGGGGAUAGCCCGGCGAAAGCCGGAUUAAUACCGCAUACGACCUGAGGGUGAAAGUGGGGGAUCGCAAGACCUCACGCAGUUGGAGCGGCCGAUGGCGGAUUAGCUAGUUGGUAGGGUAAAGGCCUACCAAGGCGACGAUCCGUAGCGGGUCUGAGAGGACGACCCGCCACACUGGAACUGAGACACGGGCCAGACUCCUACGGGAGGCAGCAGUGGGGAAUUUUGGACAAUGGGGGCAACCCUGAUCCGGCCAUUCCGCGUGAGUGAAGAAGGCCUUCGGGUUGUAAAGCUCUUUCGGCAGGAACGAAACGGCGGGCUCUAACAUAGCCUGCUAAUGACGGUACCUGAAGAAGAAGCACCGGCUAACUACGUGCCAGCAGCCGCCGUAAGAC
rnacentral:rRNA from 1 species